UCCUUUUAUAUGGGAAGAUAAUGACGGUACCAUAUGAAUAAGCACCGGCUAACUCCGUGCCAGCAGCCGCGGUAAUACGGAGGGUGCAAGCGUUACUCGGAAUCACUGGGCGUAAAGCGCGCGCAGGCGGUCUUUUAAGUUGGAUGUGAAAGCCUACGGCUCAACCGUAGAACUGCAUCCAAAACUAUUAGACUAGAGUGUGGGAGAGGAAGAUGGAAUUAGUUGUGUAGGGGUAAAAUCCGUAGAGAUAACUAGGAAUACCAAAAGCGAAGGCAAUCUUCUGGAACACUACUGACGCUGAGGCGCGAAAGCGUGGGGAGCAAACAGGAUUAGAUACCCUGGUAGUCCACGCAGUAAACGAUGAAUGUUAGUCGUCGGGGGCCUAGUGUCUUCGGUGAUGCAGCUAACGCAUUAAACAUUCCGCCUGGGGAGUACGGUCGCAAGAUUAAAACUCAAAGGAAUAGACGGGGACCCGCACAAGUGGUGGAGCAUGUGGUUUAAUUCGAAGAUACGCGAAGAACCUUACCUAGCCUUGACAUAUUUAAGAACUCCGUAGAGAUACAGAGGUGCCUUCGGGAGCUUUUUUACAGGUGCUGCACGGCUGUCGUCAGCUCGUGUCGUGAGAUGUUGGGUUAAGUCCCGCAACGAGCGCAACCCUCGUCACUAGUUACUAACGGUUCGGCCGAGGACUCUAGUCAGACUGCCUCCGCAAGGAGGAGGAAGGUGAGGACGACGUCAAGUCAUCAUGGCCCUUACGGUCAGGGCAACACACGUGCUACAAUGGGCAGGACAAUGAGACGCAAUACCGCGAGGUGGAGCAAAUCUAUAAACCUACUCUCAGUUCGGAUAGCAGUCUGCAACUCGACUGCUUGAAGCUGGAAUCACUAGUAAUCGUAGAUCAGCUAUGCUACGGUGAAUACGUUCCCGGGUCUUGCACUCACCGCCCGUC
rnacentral:rRNA from 1 species